UAAGCAUAUCAAUAAGCGGAGGAAAAGAAACCAACCGGGAUUGCCUCAGUAACGGCGAGUGAAGCGGCAAGAGCUCAAAUUUGAAAGCUGGCUCCUUCGGGGUCCGCAUUGUAAUUUGCAGAGGAUGCUUCGGGUGCAGCCCCCGUCUAAGUGCCCUGGAACGGGCCGUCAUAGAGGGUGAGAAUCCCGUAUGGGGCGGGGUGUCUGCGUCCGUGUGAAGCUCCUUCGACGAGUCGAGUUGUUUGGGAAUGCAGCUCUAAAUGGGUGGUAAAUUUCAUCUAAAGCUAAAUACUGGCCGGAGACCGAUAGCGCACAAGUAGAGUGAUCGAAAGAUGAAAAGCACUUUGAAAAGAGAGUUAAACAGCACGUGAAAUUGUUGAAAGGGAAGCGCUUGCAACCAGACUCGCUCGCGGGGUUCAGCCGGGCUUCGGCCCGGUGUACUUCCCCGUGGGCGGGCCAGCGUCGGUUUGGGCGGCCGGUCAAAGGCCUCCGGAAUGUAGCGCCCUUCGGGGCGCCUUAUAGCCGGGGGUGCAAUGCGGCCAGCCUGGACCGAGGAACGCGCUUCGGCACGGACGCUGGCAUAAUGGUUGUAAACGACCCGUCUUGAAACACGGACCAAGGAGUCUAACAUCUACGCGAGUGUUCGGGUGUCAAACCCGUACGCGCAGUGAAAGCGAACGGAGGUGGGAGCCCCCUCGCGGGGCGCACCAUCGACCGAUCCUGAUGUCUUCGGAUGGAUUUGAGUAAGAGCGUAAAUGUGGGGACCCGAAAGAUGGUGAACUAUGCCUGAAUAGGGCGAAGCCAGAGGAAACUCUGGUGGAGGCUCGCAGCGGUUCUGACGUGCAAAUCGAUCGUCAAAUUUGGGUAUAGGGGCGAAAGACUAAUCGAACCAUCUGGUAGCUGGUUCCUGCCGAA
rnacentral:rRNA from 1 species